CAGUAGUCACGAGUUUGAUCCUGGCUCAGAACGAACGCUGGCGGCAUGCCUAACACAUGCAAGUCGAACGAGAUCUUCGGGUCUAGUGGCGCACGGGUGCGUAACGCGUGGGAAUCUGCCCUUGGGUUCGGAAUAACUUCGGGAAACUGAAGCUAAUACCGGAUGAUGACGUAAGUCCAAAGAUUUAUCGCCCAAGGAUGAGCCCGCGUAGGAUUAGCUAGUUGGUGAGGUAAAGGCUCACCAAGGCGACGAUCCUUAGCUGGUCUGAGAGGAUGAUCAGCCACACUGGGACUGAGACACGGCCCAGACUCCUACGGGAGGCAGCAGUGGGAAUUUUGGACAAUGGGCGCAAGCCUGAUCCAGCAAUGCCGCGUGCAGGAUGAAGGCCUUCGGUUGUAAACUGCUUUGUACGGAACGAAACGGUGAGCUCUAAUACAGUUUGCUAAUGACGGUACCGUAAGAAUAAGCACCGGCUAACUACGUG
rnacentral:rRNA from 1 species